UACAGAGGUCUCAAGCGUUGUUCGGAUUCAUUGGGCGUAAAGGGUGCGUAGGCGGCGCGGUAAGUCGGGUGUGAAAUUUCGGAGCUUAACUCCGAAACUGCAUUCGAUACUGCCGUGCUUGAGGACUGGAGAGGAGACUGGAAUUUACGGUGUAGCGGUGAAAUGCGUAGAUAUCAGGAGGAACACCGAUGGCGAAGGCAGGUCUCUGGGCUGACACUGACGCUCAUGCACGAAAGCGUGGGGAGCAAACAGG
rnacentral:rRNA from 1 species